UACGAAGGUCCCAAGCGUUGUCCGGAUUUAUUGGGUUUAAAGGGUGCGUAGGCGGGUUAUUAAGUCAGGGGUGAAAGCCUUCAGCUUAACUGAAGAACUGCCAUUGAUACUGAUGAUCUUGAGUAUGAUUGAGGUUGGCGGAAUGUGUCAUGUAGCGGUAAAAUGCUUAGAUAUGACCCAGAACACCGCUUGCGAAGGCAGCUAACUAAGCCAUAACUGACGCUGAUGCACGAAAGCGUGGGGAGCAAACAGG
rnacentral:rRNA from 1 species